CAAUCCCGGAGCCGCGCGCCCAGGCCCCGCCAGAGGCUUUGCGCACGCGCGGAGACGCCUGGGCUCGCGGCUCGGGCGGGGUUGUCGCCCCAGGGGCUACUCCUCGCCAAUACCUCGCCGGGAGCUCGGGCGGCGGGGGCGGUGUGGGGAGAGGCGGCUCGCCGCUUGGGGGGUGGGGGGGGUGUCUGAGAGCGGCCAGCUUCUAGCCUGGCGCCCCCCCCCCCCGACCUCCUACGCCAUCCCCUUUGUCCUUACCACAACGCAGGCCCGAGCCACAUCCGCUCCGCCUCCCAGGUCGCCGUUACUGCUCGGUGGGGGCCCGCCGCCGCGAUGAGUUGGCGCCUCCCCUCGAAGCAGCUCGGCCUCGGCGGGACGCGCUCGGAUGCCCUGAUUGUGAAGUAAGUUUGUCUCAAGUCCCUGGAAUCGUACUUGCAGUGCUUCUUCCAAUCCAUCCUGCCACUCAUAGGACAAACAGCAGGAUUUCGUUGUCUAGCACAUGAACGAUAACAGCAACGCCAUUGAACAAGAUGGGAAGGUAGUGAUACGGUCAGUCACAGAGAAGAAAUCCUGGCUUGUAUGAGCACAUCAUAUCAAUCCGUUCUCAUUGGCAGUGUCUGGGGUUGGCAGGUGACUAGUCCCCGAUGAAGACACUUAUGAGGACGGUCACGUUGAAGAAAGACCCCGCCACCCACUCAGCUGCUCCCUUCUUCUCUUCAGGCUUUUUUCAUAUUGUCUCAUGAGGACUUGAUAUUUGGAGAGCUGCUGCGGAAGCUUGGAAUGUCCCAAUGGAUACACAUGAUACAUAUGCACAAUUAUGAACUUAUACUGCAGUUCUAGAUUUAUUGACAGGGAAAGAUAUCUAUGAUAUGUUGCUGAUAUGAUAUGUAACAUUAAAACUAUUUACAUAAAA